GUGGCAUCGUGGGGUAAAAAGGAUGACGGAGGCUCGUGGGGUAAUAAGGAUGACGGAGUAUCAUCGUGGGGUAAGAAAGAUGACGGUCAAAAGGAUGAUGGAGGAUCAUCGUGGGGUAAGAAGGACGAUGGAGGAUCUUCUUGGGGCAAAAAGGACGAUGGAGGAUAUUCUUGGGGCAAAAAGGACGAUGGGGGAUCGUUGUGGGGUAAAAAGGAUGAUGGAGGAUCUUCUUGGGGCAAAAAGGAUGAUGGAGGAUCAUCGUGGGGUAAGAAGGAUGAUGGAGGGUACUCAGAACAAACAUUUGAUA
rnacentral:lncRNA from 1 species